GAUGAACGCUGGCGGCGUGCUUAAUACAUGCAAGUCGAACGGAAAGGCCCUGCUCUUGCGGGGUGCACGAGUGGCGAACGGGUGAGUAACACGUGAGUAACCUGCCCCUGACUUUGGGAUAACUUCAGGAAACUGGGGCUAAUACCGGAUAGGAGCUCCUGCUGCAUGGUGGGGGUUGGAAAGUUUCGGCGGUUGGGGCUGGACUCGCGGCUUAUCAGCUUGUUGGUGGGGUAGUGGCUUACCAAGGCUUUGACGGGUAGCCGGCCUGAGAGGGUGACCGGCCACAUUGGGACUGAGAUACGGCGCAGACUCCUACGGGAGGCAACAGUGGGGAAUAUUGCACAGUGGGCGGAAGCCUGAUGCAGCAACGCCGCGUGCGGGAUGACGGCCUUCGGGUUGUAAACCGCUUUCGCCUGUGACGAAGCGUGAGUGACGGUAAUGAGUAAAGAAGCACCGGCUAACUACGUG
rnacentral:rRNA from 1 species